GGGAGAGAGUUUUAGAGAGAAGUAAGAGAGUUUAAAAAACUUGUGCAGCCACUAUAGAGAGAGAGUGUAUAAAUUUUAUUUAUAUAUAGAGACAAAAAUGUAACCAGGUUAAAAUUUAUCAGACUGUAGACUUCUUUUUGAAGUCUACUAAAAUUAAAAUUUUAGAGUAGAUUUUACCGUAAUAUAGUAGACUUUUUUG
rnacentral:lncRNA from 1 species